rnacentral:rRNA from 1 species
UACGGUGGGUGCAAACGUUUCUCGGAAUCAUUGGGCGUAAAGCGCACGUAGGCGGUCCGGUAAGUCGGAUGUGAAAACCCUCGGCUCAACCGAGGAAGUGCAUUCGAAACUGCCGGACUUGAGUACGGGAGAGGGAUGCGGAAUUCCCGGUGUAGAAGUGAAAUUCGUAGAUAUCGGGAGGAACACCAGUGGCGAAGGCGGCAUCCAGGACCGAUACUGACGCUGUGGUGCGAAAGCGUGGGGAGCAAACAGG